rnacentral:rRNA from 1 species
UUGAACGCUGGCGGUAUGCUUAACACAUGCAAGUCGAUCGGUAACAGGCCUUCGGGCGCUGACGAGUGGCGGACGGGUGAGUAACGCGUAGGAAUCUGCCUCGUAGUGGGGGACAACGUGGGGAAACUCACGCUAAUACCGCAUACGCCCUAAGGGGGAAAGGAGGGGAUCUUCGGACCUUUCGCUAUGAGAUGAGCCUGCGUUAGAUUAGCUAGUUGGUAGGGUAAAGGCCUACCAGGGCGACGAUCUAUAGCUGGUCUGAGAGGACGAUCAGCCACACUGGGACUGAGACACGGCCCAAACUCCUACGGGAGGCAGCAGUGGGGAAUAUUGGACAAUGGGCGAAAGCCUGAUCCAGCAAUACCGCGUGUGUGAAGAAGGCCUUAGGGUUGUAAAGCACUUUCAAUUGGGAGGAAAACCUACCGGUCAAUACCCGGUAGCUUGACAUUACCUUUAGAAGAAGCACCGGCUAAC